rnacentral:rRNA from 1 species
CCUACGGGGAGCAGCAGUAGGGAAUAUUGCUCAAUGGGGGAAACCCUGAAGCAGCAACGCCGCGUGGAGGAUGAAGGUUUUCGGAUUGUAAACUCCUUUUGUUAGAGAAGAUAAUGACGGUAUCUAACGAAUAAGCACUGGCUGACUCCGUGCCAGCAGCCGCGGUAAGACGGAGGGUGCAAGCGUUCCUCGGAAUCACUGGGCGUAAAGAGCGCGUAGGCGGGAUAGCAAGUCUGAUGUGAAAUCCUAUGGCUUAACCAUAGAACUGCAUUUGAAACUGUUAUUCUAGAGUAUAGGAGAGGUAGGUGGAAUUCGUGGUGUAGGGGUAAAAUGCGUAGAGAUCAAGAGGAAUACUCAUUGCGAAGGCGACCUGCUAGAACAUAACUGACGCUGAUGCGCGAAAGCGUGGGGAGCAAACAGGAUUAGAUACCCGGGUAGUC